rnacentral:snRNA from 1 species
GGAUGUGAGGGCGAUCUGGCUGCAACAUCUGUCACUGCAUUGGUUGAUUCGGCUGAUCAGGCUGGCUAGGUGGGUGUCUGCAUCCUCGCUCACCACUUGUCAGAUGUCCCGUCUGAAGCUGCACACUCAGACGAAGAGCACCGCCAUCCCCACUAGCGGAGCACUGGGCUCCAAUCAAGGGUUUUUUUUAGUAGCUGCGUUCCCCUGCUAGAACCUCCAGACAAGCUUUCAAAUACACAGACCUUUGGUUGAGAGUAUCAGAAACAGAUACAGCAGAAAAGUUGGGAUAACACAUUCCCUCUCCUGGGAAUCAGGGUUUGAGU